ACGGAGGCGUUCAAAGGUUCGCUCAGCUUGAACGGAAAUCAAGCAAAAGAGUGCAAACGCAGAAGCGAGCCUAACUGCGAGACUGACGGGUCGAGCAGUAACGAAAGUUGGAGUUAGUGAUCCGGUGGUAUGUGAGUGGAAAUGCCAUCGCUCAACGGAUAAAAGUUACCCUGGGGAUAACAGGCUGAUCUCCCCCAAGAGUCCACAUCGACGGGGAGGUUUGGCACCUCGAUGUCGGCUCAUCGCAUCCUGGGGCUGUAUUCGGUCCCAAGGGUUUGGCUGUUCGCCAAUUAAAGCGGUACGCGAGCUGGGUUCAGAACGUCGUGAGACAGUUCGGUCCCUAUCUGUCGUGGGCGCAGGAUAUUUGAUGGGAGCUGUCCCUAGUACGAGAGGACCGGGACGGACGUACCUCUGGCGCACCAGUUGUUCCGCCAGGAGCAUAGCUGGGCAACUACGUACGGAUCGGAUAAACGCUGAAAGCAUCUAAGCGUGAAGCCGACCCAAAGAUAAGAUAUCCCACUGAUUUGAUCAGGUAAGAUCCCUUGAAGACUACAAGGUUGAUAGGCACGAUGUGUAAGUGGAGUGAUCCAUUCAGCAAGUGUGUACUAAUAGAUCGAGGGCUUGACCAC
rnacentral:rRNA from 1 species